AAAAGCUCGUAGUUGGAUCUCAGCUCCGGCCGGACGGUCCGCCUACCGGUGGUUACUGUUCGCUGCCGAGCGUUCCGGUGGCUAUCCUGGAUGAUCUUUACCGGUUGUCUUGGGUGGCCGCCAAGUUUACUUUGAAAAAAUUAGAGUGCUCAAAGCAGGCGCGACGCCUGAAUAAUUGUGCAUGGAAUAAUGGAAUAGGACCUCGGUUCUAUUUUGUUGGUUUUCGGAACACGAGGUAAUGAUUAAGAGGGACAGACGGGGGCAUUCGUAUUGCGACGCUAGAGGUGAAAUUCUUGGACCGUCGCAAGACGAACUACUGCGAAAGCAUUUGCCAAGAAUGUUUCCAUUAAUCAAGAACGAAAGUUAGAGGUUCGAAGACGAUCAGAUACCGUCCUAGUUCUAACCAUAAACGAUGCCAGCCAGCGAUCCGGCUGUGUUCCUCAAAUGACACGCCGGGCAGCUUCCGGGAAACCAAAGCUUAUGGGUUCCGGGGGAAGUAUGGUUGCAAAGCUGAAACUUAAAGGAAUAGACGGAAGGGCACCACCAGGAUUGGAGCCUGCGGCUUAAUUUGACUCAACACGGGGAAACUUACCCGGCCCGGACACAGGAAGGAUUGACAGAUUAAGAGCUCUUUCUUGAUUCUGUGGGUGGUGGUGCAUGGUCGUUCUUAGUUGGUGGGGCGACUUGUCUGGUUAAUUCCGAUAACGAACGAGACUCUAGCCUACUAAAUAGACGUUCCCAUCCUCUUGCGUGGGACGUUCUUCUUAGAGGGACAAGCGGCUUCUAGCCGCACGAGACAGAGCAAUAACAGGUCUUAGAUGCCCUUAGAUGUCCGGGGCCGCACGCGCGCUACAUUGAAGGAUUCAGCGUGUGCUUUCCCUGUCCGAAAGGACUGGGUAACCCGUUGAACCUCCUUCGUGCUGGGGAUUGGCGAAUGUAAUUGACGCCAUGAACGAGGAAUUCCCAGUAAGCAUGAGUCAUCAGCUCGUGCUGAUUACGUCCCUGCCCUUUGUACUCACCGCCCGUCGCUACUACUGAUUGAGUGAUUUAGUGAGGUCUUCGGACUGGCGCUCGGAUUGGCCUUCGCGGUCGAGCCGACGUGCCGGAAAGAUGACCAAACUUGAUUACUUAGAAGAAGUAAAAGUCGUAACAAGGUUUU
rnacentral:rRNA from 1 species